rnacentral:rRNA from 1 species
GGUUAAGCGACUAAGCGUACACGGUGGAUGCCCUGGCAGUCAGAGGCGAUGAAGGACGUGCUAAUCUGCGAUAAGCGUCGGUAAGGUGAUAUGAACCGUUAUAACCGGCGAUUUCCGAAUGGGGAAACCCAGUGUGUUUCGACACACUAUCAUUAACUGAAUCCAUAGGUUAAUGAGGCGAACCGGGGGAACUGAAACAUCUAAGUACCCCGAGGAAAAGAAAUCAACCGAGAUUCCCCCAGUAGCGGCGAGCGAACGGGGAGCAGCCCAGAGCCUGAAUCAGUGUGUGUGUUAGUGGAAGCGUCUGGAAAGGCGCGCGAUACAGGGUGACAGCCCCGUACACAAAAAUGCACAUAUUGUGAGCUCGAUGAGUAGGGCGGGACACGUGGUAUCCUGUCUGAAUAUGGGGGGACCAUCCUCCAAGGCUAAAUACUCCUGACUGACCGAUAGUGAACCAGUACCGUGAGGGAAAGGCGAAAAGAACCCCGGCGAGGGGAGUGAAAAAGAACCUGAAACCGUGUACGUACAAGCAGUGGGAGCACGCUUAGGCGUGUGACUGCGUACCUUUUGUAUAAUGGGUCAGCGACUUAUAUUCUGUAGCAAGGUUAACCGAAUAGGGGAGCCGAAGGGAAACCGAGUCUUAACUGGGCGUUAAGUU